rnacentral:rRNA from 1 species
CCCUGGUAGUCCACGCCGUAAACGAUGAGUGCUAGGUGUUGGAUCCUUUCCGGGAUUCAGUGCCGCAGCUAACGCAUUAAGCACUCCGCCUGGGGAGUACGACCGCAAGGUUGAAACUCAAAGGAAUUGACGGGGGCCCGCACAAGCGGUGGAGCAUGUGGUUUAAUUCGAAGCAACGCGAAGAACCUUACCAGGUCUUGACAUCCCGAUGCUAUUUCUAGAGAUAGAAAGUUACUUCGGUACAUCGGUGACAGGUGGUGCAUGGUUGUCGUCAGCUCGUGUCGUGAGAUGUUGGGUUAAGUCCCGCAACGAGCGCAACCCUUAUUGUUAGUUGCCAUCAUUUAGUUGGGCACUCUAGCGAGACUGCCGGUGACAAACCGGAGGAAGGUGGGGAUGACGUCAAAUCAUCAUGCCCCUUAUGACCUGGGCUACACACGUGCUACAAUGGUUGGUACAACGAGUUGCGAGUCGGUGACGGCAAGCUAAUCUCUUAAAGCCAAUCUCAGUUCGGAUUGUAGGCUGCAACUCGCCUACAUGAAGUCGGAAUCGCUAGUAAUCGCGGAUCAGCACGCCGCGGUGAAUACGUUCCCGGGCCUUGUACACACCGCCCGUCACACCACGAGAGUUUGUAACACCCGAAGUCGGUGG